GGCAGUGUGGUGUAGUGGUUUGAGUGUUGGACUAGGGCACUGGGAGAUCAGGGUUCAAAUCCCAGCUCAGUCA